rnacentral:tRNA from 6 species
GCUGAUAUAGCUCAGUCGGUAGAGCGCAUCCUUGGUAAGGAUGAGGUCUCCAGUUCAAAUCUGGAUAUCAGCUCCA